UGUGAGAAAAAAUCAUUGCUGCAAAUCUAGCUAAGGUUGGUUCCACAGGUGCAGCAGGAAAGGUCAGGAGCUGUCAGGCAAGAUGUAGCCUGGACACAAUUUCUUUCUGUUGGAAUUCCCUACUUCUGCCUUUAUUUCCUACAUGUUCUUCUUUGACAGGACGUAUUUUGGCUGACUUGCUACUGUAUGGUAUUCCUCACAGCAAAGGCACAAGUGGUUUUCCUCUGGCAAUCAUCUUUUUCAACUGUUUUGGUACAAAGGUCAAAAUACUGAAGAAACCUCUACCUUGAGGAGGCAAAAAGAAGUGCAAAUCAAGUUAAGCAUUCAGCAUUUUAAGGAUGUUUUUUUCAUUCCCAAAGUCUACCACUUCUUUCUCAUGGGUACUACAACUGAAUUAUCAUGUUUAAAUAAUUUCUCCAAUAAAAGGCCUGUAAGCAAA